UACGUAGGGUGCGAGCGUUGUCCGGAAUUAUUGGGCGUAAAGAGCUUGUAGGCGGUUUGUCACGUCUGCUGUGAAAUCCGGGCUCAACCCCGGACUUGCAGUGGGUACGGGCAGACUAGAGUGUGGUAGGGGAGACUGGAAUUCCUGGUGUAGCGGUGAAAUGCGCAGAUAUCAGGAGGAACACCGAUGGCGAAGGCAGGUCUCUGGGCCACUACUGACGCUGAGAAGCGAAAGCAUGGGGAGCGAACAGG
rnacentral:rRNA from 1 species